rnacentral:sRNA from 1 species
CAUUCAGCACAUAGAGCUGGAGAAAGGGAGCAAAGGACUUGGUUUUAGCAUUUUAGAUUAUCAGGAUCCAAUUGAUCCAGCAAGCACUGUGAUUAUAAUUCGUUCUUUGGUGCCUGGCGGCAUUGCUGAAAAGGACGGACGACUUCUUCCUGGUGACCGACUCAUGUUUGUAAAUGAUGUUAACUUGGAAAACAGCAGUCUUGAGGAAGCUGUAGAAGCACUGAAGGGAGCACCAUCAGGGACUGUGAGAAUAGGAGUUGCUAAGCCUUUACCCCUUUCACCAGAAGAAGUUUAUGUUUCUGCUAAGGAGGAUUCCUUUCUCUACCCACCACACUCCUGUGAGGAAGCAGGGCUGGCUGACAAACCCCUCUUCAGGGCUGACUUGGCUCUGGUGGGCACAAAUGAUGCUGACUUAGUAGAUGAAUCCACAUUUGAGUCUCCAUACUCUCCUGAAAAUGACAGCAUCUACUCUACUCAAGCCUCUAUUUUAUCACUUCAUGGCAGUUCUUGUGGUGAUGGCCUGAACUAUGGUUCUUCCCUUCCAUCAUCUCCUCCUAAGGAUGUUAUUGAAAAUUCUUGUGAUCCAGUACUUGAUCUGCAUAUGUCUCUGGAGGAACUAUAUACCCAGAAUCUCCUGCAAAGACAGGAUGAGAAUACACCUUCGGUGGACAUAAGUAUGGGGCCUGCUUCUGGCUUUACUAUAAAUGACUACACACCUGCAAAUGCUAUUGAACAACAAUAUGAAUGUGAAAACACAAUAGUGUGGACUGAAUCUCAUUUACCAAGUGAAGUUAUAUCAAGUGCAGAACUUCCUUCUGUGCUACCCGAUUCAGCUGGAAAGGGCUCUGAGUACCUGCUUGAACAGAGCUCCCUGGCCUCUAAUGCUGAGUGUGUCAUGCUUCAAAAUGUAUCUAAAGAAUCUUUUGAAAGGACUAUUAAUAUAGCAAAAGGCAAUUCUAGCCUAGGAAUGACAGUUAGUGCUAAUAAAGAUGGCUUGGGGAUGAUCGUUCGAAGCAUUAUUCAUGGAGGUGCCAUUAGUCGAGAUGGCCGGAUUGCCAAUGGGGACUGCAUCUUGUCCAUUAAUGAAGAGUCUACCAUCAGUGUAACCAAUGCCCAGGCACGAGCUAUGUUGAGAAGACAUUCUCUCAUUGGCCCUGACAUAAAAAUUACUUAUGUGCCUGCAGAACAUUUGGAAGAGUUCAAAAUAAGCUUGGGACAACAAUCUGGAAGAGUAAUGGCACUGGAUAUUUUUUCUUCAUACACUGGCAGAGACAUUCCAGAAUUACCAGAGCGAGAAGAGGGAGAGGGUGAAGAAAGCGAACUUCAAAACACAGCAUAUAGCAACUGGAAUCAGCCCAGGCGGGUGGAACUCUGGAGAGAACCAAGCAAAUCCUUAGGCAUCAGCAUUGUUGGUGGACGAGGGAUGGGAAGUCGGCUAAGCAAUGGAGAAGUGAUGAGGGGCAUUUUCAUCAAACAUGUUCUGGAAGAUAGUCCAGCUGGCAAAAAUGGAACCUUGAAACCUGGAGAUAGAAUCGUAGAGGCACCCAGUCAGUCAGAGUCAGAGCCAGAGAAGGCUCCAUUGUGCAGUGUGCCCCCACCCCCUCCUUCAGCCUUUGCCGAAAUGGGUAGUGAUCACACACAGUCAUCUGCAAGCAAAAUCUCACAAGAUGUGGACAAAGAGGAUGAGUUUGGUUACAGCUGGAAAAAUAUCAGAGAGCGUUAUGGAACCCUAACAGGCGAGCUGCAUAUGAUUGAACUGGAGAAAGGUCAUAGUGGUUUGGGCCUAAGUCUUGCUGGGAACAAAGACCGAUCCAGGAUGAGUGUCUUCAUAGUGGGUAUUGAUCCAAAUGGAGCUGCAGGAAAAGAUGGUCGAUUGCAAAUUGCAGAUGAGCUUCUAGAGAUCAAUGGUCAGAUUUUAUAUGGAAGAAGUCAUCAGAAUGCCUCAUCAAUCAUUAAAUGUGCCCCUUCUAAAGUGAAAAUAAUUUUUAUCAGAAAUAAAGAUGCAGUGAAUCAGAUGGCCGUAUGUCCUGGAAAUGCAGUAGAACCUUUGCCUUCUAACUCAGAAAAUCUUCAAAAUAAGGAGGUAUAUGUAACUUAUGUUUGUUUCUCUGGGAAGACUUGAUCGAUGUGAGCCUUAUUAAUUCAAUCAACAAUUACAUAACACUUAGAGAGGGAUAUUAGAGGUAGAUAAGUUAUAGCCUUGGCCUUCAAGGAGUGUACAUCCUAGUAUAAGAAGACACUCAUGGAAAUAAGCAUACCACUUAUGUGAAGAGUACUUGUAGUCUGCCUAGGAAAUAGUGAGGGUAGGAAAAGAGUUAUCAGUUCUGCCUCUGAAAAGAAAUUGAGGAUAAAACUUUAUAUGGAAGGUUACAUAUGAAGUGUAUGUUGGAAGAUUUGGGGGGCAAAAAUGUUGCAAGCGGAGGGCAUGGAGUGAGGAAUGGCAUGGAGACUUUGGCCAAUGCAGGAAGCUAAAUUAGAGCAUCACUGAGCAAUGAGGGGCAGGGAAUGGGAGCUGGUGGGGAAAGGGUCAAUGUUAAAGGGGACAGGGUCAGAUCAUGGGAUACAUUGAUAGGCCAACAUGUGCCAGCUUUGUCUUUGAGGCAGUGUGGAGCUCAAAGAAUGAGAAAUGUAUAGUUAAAAAUUUCUCUGGCAGUACUGUAGAGAAAAAUCAGAGGUAACAGGGGAGAGAAGUUAGAGGAAGUAAGAUAAUUAUUGGAAUAAUUCAGGAAACAGUUAACAAGGACCUGAACUAAAGCUGGAAGAGGGAAUGGUUACAUCAGAUGUUUAAGACCCAAAUUGAUAAUACUUCAUCCCCAACUAAAUGUACUCACUGAGGAAAAAUUAGUGGUUGAAGAUGUGUUUAUCCAACAAAUAUUUUCUGAGUACUCUGCCUUAUACCAGAUAUUCCUCUUUGGACUGGAGAAUAAAACAGGUAGGAUAUACAAGGUUUUCAGAUAUCUGACUUAGUGACAUCAGGGAUGGCUGUCUUUUACUGAAUAGAAAAUACAGAAAGAUAUUUGCAAAAAUAUGGUACAUUCUAUUUGGGGCAGGUUAAGAACGAAGUGCCUGUUGGAUAGCCUGGUAAAAAUGUACAUUGGGACAUUUGGUCUCCAGUUUAGAGAUGAUUUCCUGUAUAUGCAGAUUUGGCAUUUCUUAGCCAUGGAGGCUGAGGUGCUUGCUACAGAGAGCAUUUAGAGAGAAAGAGGGCCAAGGGCAGAAUCAUGUGGUAGCAACAAUAAGGAGGAAGGCUAACCAAGAGAUCAGAGACUAUGAAGAACCAGGAGGGCAUGUGGCAGAGCAGCGGAGAAGAGUGUCCUUCAAGGGUACACUCCACAGCUCUACAUGCUGCCAUGUAGCAAGAAUCCAGUGAGAAGAUGAGUAGAAAGAGUCCCUUGGGUUUGGUAACUAGGAGACUGUUAGUGGUUUUUGAGAAAGCAAAUGAUGGACAAGAAGUCAAGGAGAGAGAGAGGCAGUGUCUAGAGGGUGACAGAGAAUUGGGAGAGUGGUUUUGUUUUGAUUUAGGAAAGCUUUGGAUACAUGUGUAUGAUGAAUAAAAGGAGUUAGUAGAGAAUGAAAAGCUUAAAAUUAGAGGAACUUUGGUGAUUAUCAGUGGGGGUACCUGUAGGAAGAGAAACAUUCUUUCCUAAAUGAAUAUAUAAACAUAGAGCUUAUGUAUACAUAAGAUAGAUGUACAAAUCAUUGUCUCAUUCCGGCUGCUCCUAACGUUCCACUAAGCCACGUGGUUAUUUAAGAUAAUUAGGUUAUAAGGUAAUAUAUUUUGUUUUCAUAUUAGUUGUACUAAGUAUGUCUCUUAAGGAAAUGGAGUAUUUUAAUAACGUUCAUUAAAGUUUUCAAUUCACUUGAUAAAUAACACAGUAAAGAAUAAUGAAUGGUGUUUCUGCUGAUGCUCUGUCACUGAGUUUCACCAUUUGUUAGCUGGGCUACCAUCGGUUUUCAUUAUACAGUAAACCCAGGCAGUCUUCAAGCCACUUGGUCUAUCUGUGCUCUCAACUGAUUGCUGUCCAGUUACACCUCGUAAGUAUUUUGAAGAGAAUGUAAUGUUCAUAAAUUCCAUAGAAUGUUAAAAUAGCAAAAAUGUAUUAUAAUAAAUAAAUGUAUUAAAAUAGCAAUAGUGUAUUAAAAUAAAUAAACGUAGUAAAAUAAUUCUAUAUAAUGUAUAAAAUAAUUUUGAAUAAGUGGCCCUUAUAUUUAAACAAAUCAAAUUUCCUAACACUCAGUUGCCCUUUUUGUCAUUUCUUUCCCUCUGUCAGACAGAGCCAACUGUUACUACUUCUGAUGCAGCUGUGGACCUCAGUUCAUUUAAAAAUGUGCAACAUCUGGAGCUUCCCAAGGAUCAGGGGGGUUUGGGUAUUGCUAUCAGCGAAGAAGAUACACUCAGUGGAGUCAUCAUAAAGAGCUUAACAGAGCAUGGGGUAGCAGCCACGGAUGGACGACUCAAAGUCGGAGAUCAGAUACUGGCUGUAGAUGAUGAAAUUGUUGUUGGUUACCCUAUUGAAAAGUUUAUUAGCCUUCUGAAGACAGCAAAGAUGACAGUAAAACUUACCAUCCAUGCUGAGAAUCCAGAUUCCCAGGCUGUUCCUUCAGCAGCUGGUGCAGCCAGUGGAGAAAAAAAGAACAGCUCCCAGUCUCUGAUGGUCCCACAGUCUGGCUCCCCAGAACCGGAGUCCAUCCGAAAUACAAGCAGAUCAUCAACACCAGCAAUUUUUGCUUCUGAUCCUGCAACCUGCCCCAUUAUCCCUGGCUGCGAAACAACCAUCGAGAUUUCCAAAGGGCGAACAGGGCUGGGCCUGAGCAUCGUUGGGGGUUCAGACACGCUGCUGGGUGCCAUUAUUAUCCAUGAAGUUUAUGAAGAAGGAGCAGCAUGUAAAGAUGGAAGACUCUGGGCUGGAGAUCAGAUCUUAGAGGUGAAUGGAAUUGACUUGAGAAAGGCCACACAUGAUGAAGCAAUCAAUGUCCUGAGACAGACGCCACAGAGAGUGCGCCUGACACUCUACAGAGAUGAGGCCCCAUACAAAGAGGAGGAAGUGUGUGACACCCUCACUAUUGAGCUGCAGAAGAAGCCGGGAAAAGGCCUAGGAUUAAGUAUUGUUGGUAAAAGAAACGAUACUGGAGUAUUUGUGUCAGACAUUGUCAAAGGAGGAAUUGCAGAUGCCGAUGGAAGACUGAUGCAGGGAGACCAGAUAUUAAUGGUGAAUGGGGAAGACGUUCGUAAUGCCACCCAAGAAGCGGUUGCCGCUUUGCUAAAGUGUUCCCUAGGCACAGUAACCUUGGAAGUUGGAAGAAUCAAAGCUGGUCCAUUCCAUUCAGAGAGGAGGCCAUCUCAAAGCAGCCAGGUGAGUGAAGGCAGCCUGUCAUCUUUCACUUUUCCACUCUCUGGAUCCAGUACAUCUGAGUCACUGGAAAGUAGCUCAAAGAAGAAUGCAUUGGCAUCUGAAAUACAGGGAUUAAGAACAGUUGAAAUAAAAAAGGGCCCUACUGACUCACUGGGAAUCAGCAUCGCGGGAGGAGUAGGCAGCCCACUUGGUGAUGUGCCUAUAUUUAUUGCAAUGAUGCACCCAACUGGAGUUGCAGCACAGACCCAAAAACUCAGAGUUGGGGAUAGGAUUGUCACUAUCUGUGGCACAUCCACUGAGGGCAUGACUCACACCCAAGCAGUUAACCUACUGAAAAAUGCAUCUGGCUCCAUUGAAAUGCAGGUGGUUGCUGGAGGAGAUGUGAGUGUGGUCACAGGUCAUCAGCAGGAGCCUGCAUGUUCCAGUCUUUCUUUCACUGGGCUGACGUCAAGCAGUAUAUUUCAGGAUGAUUUAGGACCUCCUCAAUGUAAGUCUAUUACACUAGAGCGAGGACCAGAUGGCUUAGGCUUCAGUAUAGUUGGAGGAUAUGGCAGCCCUCAUGGAGACUUACCCAUUUAUGUUAAAACAGUGUUUGCAAAGGGAGCAGCCUCUGAAGACGGACGUCUGAAAAGGGGCGAUCAGAUCAUUGCUGUCAAUGGGCAGAGUCUAGAAGGAGUCACCCAUGAAGAAGCUGUUGCCAUCCUUAAACGGACAAAAGGCACUGUCACUUUGAUGGUUCUCUCUUGAAUUGGCUGCCAGAAUUGAACCAACCCAACCCCUAGCUCACCUCCUACUGUAAAGAGAAUGCACUGGUCCUGACAAUUUUUAUGCUGUGUUCAGCCAGGUCUUCAAAACUGUAGGGGGGAAAUAACGCUUAAGUUUCUUUUUCUCAUAUAGAAAUGCUUUCCUUACUGACAACCUAACAUCAUUUUUCUUUUCUUCUUGCAUUUUGUGAACUUAAAGAGAAGGAAUGUUUGUGUAGGUGAAUCUCGUUUUUAUUUGUGGAGAUAUCUAAUGUUUUGUAGUCACAUGGGCAAGAAUUAUUACAUGCUAAGCUGGUUAGUAUAAAGAAAGAUAAUUCUAAAGCUAACCAAAGAAAAUGGCUUCAGUAAAUUAGGAUGAAAAAUGAAAAUAUAAAAUAAGGAAGAAAAUCUCGGGGAGUUUAAAAAAAAUGCCUCAAUUUGGCAAUCUACCUCCUCUCCCCACCCCAAACUAAAAAAA